CGGGAGUUGGUUACGAAGAUGUCCGACGGGGAAGCCGGGGGGCGCUCGCUACGAGCAUUCCGGGCACAAGGACACAUGCUGCCUGUUAUACCACCACGGGAGAUGCAGAUAACAUCUUUUUGUGUAAAAAUCUAUCUUGGGAGCAAUGAGACAGCACCAUCUCCACAUCACACUGCUCUCCAUCCCAUGAUCGUUAAUUCAGGUAAGGGAAGUGAGGAAUUUGCUUUUCUGGCUAGCAUUCCCUAAAGGGCAAAGCUGGCAGUUGCCCAGUGCACACGCCAGGGUUGUGUCCAUUGAAUUCCCAGACCUUUCCCAUCUGGUUCUUGUAAUAUUGGAGGUGGAUCUGCUGCUUCGUUUUGUAUUCUGCAUCCAUCUUCUCUCAGGCACGAUCUGGAAACUGCUCUGCAGCCCAUCCCACAGCAUGCGAGGUCUCCUUGUUGCGUCCAGUGGGUCAGGAAGGAAGGGAGAAAGCCCUAGAGUUACAAGAAUUCCCAAAGGGCAGCAAGUACAAAGAACAAACACAUUGUAAAAACAAGCACACAAAAAUACUUCAUUGUUUUAAAUGCAAAAGGCAUUUUCUGUUGUCAGAUGCAGGCAAACUGCAUUGCUUUUACAUAGAGAGGCUGUUAGCAGCAAACUAGCUGACCCAUGCUCGAAAGCAUUCCAAGGAUACUUCCCCCCUUGGGAGACCAGAAAUACCAGAGAAGCCAUUUUCAUACAGCCUGACUGUUCCUACCAGCACCAGGCUUGAAUCAGGCUUAUGCUUGUCAGAGAAUAGAGACAGAACCUAACUUUAUCUCAGAGGAACACACAAACCUACCCUGCAGCUUUCAGGCUGACCUUGGCCAUUUAUUGGCACCAUGCUUGGCAUGGUUUCUCAGAUAGUGACAAGAAUGUAAGUGAUAUCUGGGGUGGUAACAGGCAUGUGAGAAGGAAAUGGUUUGGCUCUGCAGAUUUCCAGGAACUUUAAGACAAGCCAAUUGGGCUCAAAUGACACUGAGAAACUACAGUGCACCAAUGGCAACAGGAUGCACCCUUUUGUACAAUAAACAGCCAUGAGGAUCACUUGCACUUUUUGCUCUAUAACCCCAGGCCAUGAGUCUGUUAUUAAAACCUAUUAAGAGCAUGCUUGUCAAUAAAAGCCCAUGAAAGAAUGCCUGUGUUCUAUGCUAG
rnacentral:lncRNA from 1 species